rnacentral:lncRNA from 1 species
GAACCCCCCUUCACUGGGCUGCGAUCAAAGGACAUCUGGAGGUGCUGCAGCUCCUGAUAGACCACGGAGCCAGGCCCUGCCUGGUCACUGAUGUGGGCUGGACCCCAGCUCAUUUUGCAGCUGAGUCGGGCCACCUGCAUGUGCUCAAAACGCUGCACGCGCUGCACGCCGCCAUCGAUGCCCCGGACUUCUUUGGAGACACGCCGAAGAGGAUCGCGCAGAUCUACGGGCAGAAGGCCUGUGUGGCCUUCCUGGAGAAAUGACAGAGGUGCCCUGGCUGUGUACAGAAGGCAGAGGAGAGGUCCCUCCGCAGGCCAGGCAGGCUGUCUGGUCCCCAGAUUGUGGGCUGAGAGCUGGCUCCCUUCUUCUAGGGCUGAGCUUCAGUGCCGGGACCACUGCCAGGCUGCCAGGCAGAAGGGGCUGCAGCUGGAUCAGCGGGACGAAGACUGGGAUGCCAAGAAGAGGGAGAUGGAGCUGUCGCUUCCUUCCUGGAAUCCAAACCCUGAGAAGAAAAAGAGUAAGAAACAUCGAGGGUCCACCAAGCUCAGCAACACUAAGGAGAGGAGAGCGUGAGAGGAUGGCCUCCGAGGGAUGGGAGCCUCUGAGGGAUGGCAGGAGACUUUCCCUGGUGCCAGAAUGGUUAUUAGGUAUGUGUCCUCCUGCUCCAUCCUAGACCAUUAAUUAUCCAGACAGCUUCUACCUGUAUCUCCUGACCUAUCAUUCAGCCUGGAAGUCUUGCCUGGACUCUCUACAUGGGCUGUCCCCUCCUUGCUAAUACCUGCUUGUCCCCAAGAAUGACCAGGAGGGAACAAAUGUGAUUUGCACUGUCGUCACUGCUUUGUACUGUCAGCAUCUCCUGAGCCCCUCAAUGCAAUUCUAGAGCUCCAGGCGCAAAGAAAAAUCUCCUCCUGAGGAAACUUCAUUGUUUCAAUGCAAAAAAAAAAAAAAGCAACAACUGUAUCUGAAAAAUCUUCAACAUUCUCAGGUCAGUUAAUCUAUGAACAAAAGUUUGUUGUCACAUAGACCAAGCACAAAGAGGAAGAGAUGGGUCUUAGUUUCCAGCUAUUUAUUCUUAUGAGGGAUAGAAAACCACAAUUUCAGCAGGGCCAUUUUUACCACCAAUCCCUUCUACGUAGGAGAAAACAACCCGGACAAUAGACCAGCUCAGUGAGAAAUAAAAACCUUGGUUUAAUCUCUUCCCACUUAAUAAUGACACAUGGCAUAAAAUAAUGGAACAUGUGAUGACAGCUCUGUUUGAUCAGUGGUAUAUUUUAGAAAAUCUAAAUACAGAUCAGAUGCUGCCAAUGAAAAUAUUGCAUUGGCAUUGAGAUGCACUGUAAAUGUAAAAUGCGUAUUAUAUUUUGAAGACCUAGGAUAAAAAAUCAUGAAUCAUUAAUAAUAAUUAAUACUAAAUGUUAAAAUUUUUUUUUGGUCUUUUUGUCUUUUCUAGGGCCACACCCGUGGCAUAUGGAGGUUCCCAGGCUAGGGCUCUAAUCGGAGCUGUAGCUGCCAGCCUACACCACAGCCACGGCAACGAGGGAUCUGAGCCGCAUCUGUGACCUACAUCACAGCUCACGGCAAUGCCGGAUCCUUAACCCACUGAGUGAGGCCAGGGAUCAAACCCAAAACCUCAUGGUUCUCAGUCGGAUUUGUUAACCACUGAGCCACAAUGGGAACUCCUAUUUUGGAUAUUAUAUUAACUAAAAGGUAUUACUAACAUAAAUUUUACCUUUUAUCUUUUCAGUUUUUUUUUAAAAUGUGUCUAGUAGACUGUUUAAAAUUAUAUAAGUGGCUCCCCCCCACCCCCACCCCCGCCAUCAGAUAGCAGUGCAGUAGAAACUGAACCAUAUUUAGAGCCUCCACCAGGCAGCUGGGCUGGAGCACUUGAAGUGGCUAGUUUCUAGUUCUGCUUCCUUACUCAGAAAAUCAGCGAUACCGCUUUCAUAAUGAGUUCCUCUUUUGCUGACAGUAUGGUGAAUUAAUUGUUUUCCUCCUAAAACCAGUCUUUCUUAGUAAGCACAACCUUUAAAGAUCACAGACUUAUGAGUUAAGCAGACUUAGGUUUGUAUCCUCCUCUAGGAAAUAAGCGAAAUAAUCCUUACUUCCUGGGAUUGCUGUGCAGGAUGAGAUGAUGCAUAAGGUGCUCGCAGCGGCACUCUGUAACUGGUCCAGGUAAUGGCUAUUGUAUUACUAUAGGAGUGAGUUCAGCUUUUCUUGAGAAUUCCAAAGGGAUCCAGGAAGGAUGCCUGGCGCUCCAUUGUCCAGGCGCUCCAUUGUCCAGUCCAUAAAUAUCCCCUGCCUAGUUUCAUAGCAUGGAUAAGAGCCUGCCUUCCACUGUCUGGAAAGACCUGGACCAAACACUGGUAAAUGUUCUUAGGGUCCUUUGCUGGGUCCAUAACCCCCUGCCACCCAGCAUCCUCACUGAGUCCCCCUUCAAUGUUAACCUCAUCAAAGCAUGAGGAGAAGUUUAUUUCUUGUCCCACCAGUUUUUGUACAGUUUAUGAGGACCACAGAAAGAGGACAUGGAAAUAGCUUCCUUGUAUGAAGAAUCUGUUGGGAUGCAGAUUCUGUACUAAGCACUAUAUGUGCAUUAUUUCGAAUCUGCAUGACACACCUGCAAGGUGGAUAUCAUUGUCCCCAGUUGACACCACAAACUAAAAUUCUGAGAGGUUGAGUGACUUUGUCCUAGGCCACCUAGCUGAUGCUUAUAAAACCUUUAAAGUAUGCCUGAAUUGGGUGGAGCGCUAACCCUUCAGGCUGUGUGAGCUCGGGUGGGUUGCUUAACUUCUCUGUUUUCCCUGUCUGUAACUUGGGGAAAAUACAGUGUGUCAUGAGGAAGACAAUGAGAUAAGCAUCACACAUUUAGUAUAAAGCUCCCCUAUUGAAGGGUCUUUAAAUUACAUGGAAAUCUUUUCUUGGCCAUUGAAAUUUUUCAUAUCUUAGUAUUUUUUUUUUUUUUUUUUUUUAACAGCUGCACCUGCAGCAUGUGGAAGUUCCCCGUCUAGGGGUUGAAUUGGAACUGCAGCUGCAGACCUACACCACAGCCAUGGCAACCCUGGAUCCAAGCACAGCUUGUGGCAAUGCCGGGUCCUUAAUCCACUGAGUGAGGCCAGGGAUUGAACCCGCACCCUCAUGGACACUAUGUCAGGGUCUUAACCCACUGAGCCACGGUGGGAACUCCCUCAUAUCUUAUUAAAAAAAAAUCAGUAUUUACUGAACAGAUUCUGUAUCAGAAAACAGAGCACAAGGUGUAUCUUCAUGAAAUAAAACAUGAAACACGCAGUCAAUGAUUUUAUUAUUUGGCAUUAGGAUAUCAAAGAAGUUUGUAAGAUUGUUUUUCCAGCAUAAAUUCCUUGGCAUUGCUUGAGAGAGCAUCUCAAACAGCGUGAAUAACAAACACAUUGUUAAAAUUUUCUCUUACCAGUGUUCUGACUUUCGUCUUUGAUCUUAUGAAUUUAGGCCAACACUUUGUUUUCUGUUUCUGUCCUGUAUACUCCGUUGGCAGGCAACACUUAAAAGCCCUGCGAAGAGAAACUUUGUGGGUGAAGACAAAUAAAGGCAACUAAUAAAAAAA